rnacentral:rRNA from 1 species
GGUAGCACAGAGAGCUUGCUCUCGGGUGACGAGUGGCGGACGGGUGAGUAAUGUCUGGGAAACUGCCUGAUGGAGGGGGAUAACUACUGGAAACGGUAGCUAAUACCGCAUAAUGUCGCAAGACCAAAGAGGGGGACCUUCGGGCCUCUUGCCAUCAGAUGUGCCCAGAUGGGAUUAGCUAGUAGGUGGGGUAACGGCUCACCUAGGCGACGAUCCCUAGCUGGUCUGAGAGGAUGACCAGCCACACUGGAACUGAGACACGGUCCAGACUCCUACGGGAGGCAGCAGUGGGGAAUAUUGCACAAUGGGCGCAAGCCUGAUGCAGCCAUGCCGCGUGUAUGAAGAAGGCCUUCGGGUUGUAAAGUACUUUCAGCGGGGAGGAAGGUGUUGUGGUUAAUAACCGCAGCAAUUGACGUUACCCGCAGAAGAAGCACCGGCUAACUCCGUGCCAGCAGCCGCGGUAAUACGGAGGGUGCAAGCGUUAAUCGGAAUUACUGGGCGUAAAGCGCACGCAGGCGGUCUGUCAAGUCGGAUGUGAAAUCCCCGGGCUCAACCUGGGAACUGCAUUCGAAACUGGCAGGCUAGAGUCUUGUAGAGGGGGGUAGAAUUCCAGGUGUAGCGGUGAAAUGCGUAGAGAUCUGGAGGAAUACCGGUGGCGAAGGCGGCCCCCUGGACAAAGACUGACGCUCAGGUGCGAAAGCGUGGGGAGCAAACAGGAUUAGAUACUCUGGUAGUCCACGCCGUAAACGAUGUCGAUUUGGAGGUUGUGCCCUUGAGGCGUGUCUUCCGGGAGCUAACGCGUUAAAUCGACCGCCUGGGGAGUACGGCCGCAAGGUUAAAACUCAAAUGAAUUGACGGGG